rnacentral:rRNA from 1 species
UGCCAUCCGCCGCGGUAAUACGGAGGGAGCUAGCGUUGUUCGGAAUUACUGGGCGUAAAGCGCACGUAGGCGGAUUUGUUAGUCAGAGGUGAAAUCCCGGGGCUCAACCUCGGAACUGCCUUUGAUACUGCAAGUCUAGAGACCGAGAGAGGUGAGUGGAAUUUCCAGUGUAGAGGUGAAAUUCGUAGAUAUUGGAAAGAACACCAGUGGCGGAGGCGGCUUUCUGGACCAAUACUGACGCUGAGAUGCGAAAGCGUGGGGAGCGAACAGGAUUAGAUA